rnacentral:rRNA from 1 species
UACGAGGGGGGGCAAGCGUUGCCCGGAUUUAUUGGGCGUAAAGGGCGCGUAGGCGGCUCUGCACGUCCGUUGUGAAAUCGCCCGGCUCAACUGGGCGGGGUCAGCGGAUACGGCGGAGCUUGAGCAAGCUAGGGGGCAAUGGAAUUCCUGGUGUAGCGGUGAAAUGCGCAGAUAUCAGGAGGAACACCGAUGGCGAAGGCAGGUCUCUGGGCAUUAACUGACGCUGAGGAGCGAAAAGCAUGGGGAGCGAACAGG